rnacentral:rRNA from 1 species
UACGUAGGUGGCAAGCGUUGUCCGGAUUUACUGGGCGUAAAGGGAGCGUAGGCGGACUUUUAAGUGAGAUGUGAAAUACCCGAGCUCAACUUGGGUGCUGCAUUUCAAACUGGAAGUCUAGAGUGCAGGAGAGGAGAAGGGAAUUCCUAGUGUAGCGGUGAAAUGCGUAGAGAUUAGGAAGAACACCAGUGGCGAAGGCGCUUCUCUGGACUGUAACUGACGCUGAGGCUCGAAAGCGUGGGGAGCAAACAGGAUUAGAAACCCGAGUAGUCCGCCUAAUGUGCCAGCAGCCGCGGUA